GGCAAGAUGGCCGAGCGGUCCAAGGCGUGUGACUCAAGCUUACCUAAGCUUGCCUGCUAAAGGCGGGUCUUCUCAUCUCCGUAUGGAGGCGGGAGUUCGAAUCUCCCUCUUGUCA
rfam:Paxillus involutus ATCC 200175 unplaced genomic scaffold PAXINscaffold_14, whole genome shotgun sequence.